GUUUAGCAUAUAUGUCUGCAUCUGAAACAAAUUUAAAGAAACUUGACAUAGUACAAAAUGAAGCCAUUCGUAUCUGUAGUGGAGCGUUUAAGACAUCCCCAAUCUCAGCAUUGCAAGUAGAGGUGGGUGAAAUGCCUCUGGAAAUAAGGAAAAAUAAGAUCAUGCUGACAUAUUGGGUUAAUCUGGAGGGGCAGAGUUCAAUACAUCCAACUAAAGCAGUGUUGCAGGAGAGUUGGGAACGUAGUAAAAGUAAAAGUUUUGGGUGGAAAAGCAAAGAACUAGCACAAAAAUUAGGAUUAACAGGGUUAAACAUCAAUAAAACGGUUCCUAUAUCAAUCAUACCCCUGUGGAAUUUCAUCAAUACAACAGUUGAUACUCAGUUAUUGGUAUCUGUCAAAAACAACCACAAAAAAGCACCAGUGUGGGCGAUAGUACAAAAGUAUAUUAAUCAAAAGUAUUUGGGAAAAGUGUUCUUUUUUACAGACGGCUCAAAAGAUCCAGAAACAGGACGCACAGGAGCGGCAGUUUUUAUUCCACAAUAUGAAAAAACCAUUAAAAAGAGGUUGUCAGAUCAUUUGUCAGUAUACACAGUAGAAAUGAUGGGGAUAAUAUUAGCUUAACAGUGGAUGGAGGACAACAGUCAACAGAAUGUAAUUGUAGCAACAGACAGCAUCUCAGCGCUUCAAAGCAUUCAGUCAGGAAAAUCAUGCAGGCAAGACCUUUUAUUGGAAAUAUUUCACCAACUAUAUAGGCUACAUAACAGCAAAGUGGAUGUUUCUUUUCUUUGGGUUCCGGCACAUGAAGGAGUAGAAGGAAAUGAAGCAGCAGAUAUAUUGGCCAAACAAUCAAUAAAAUCCAACACAGUUAAUAUUGAAAUACCACUAAGUAAGGAUGAAGUAAAAUCUAUCAUUAAGAAACAUAUGUACAAAAUGUGGCAGGAAAAUUGGGACAUCACAAUCACAGGGAGACAUUUAUAUAACAUACAGCUACAAAUCAAAAAGAGUGAAACAAGGGGCAGGAACAGAAGAGAAGAAAUUAUCAUAACACGGCUUAGGAUAGGGCAUGCAGGGAUUAACCAAACAUUAAAUAAAAUAGGGAAGCACCCGACAGGCCUGUGCUCAGAGUGUUUACGGUUAGAGACAGUUCAGCAUGUGUUACUGGAGUGUAAUAAGUCUAGGGAGGAGCGAAUGAGGGUGAUACAAAUGUUGCAGAGAGGAAAACAGGAGUUAACGUUAGGUAGUCUUUUAGGGAGUGCAUUACAGGAAGGAGUAGGUGUUUUAAUGAAUUAUUUGAGGGUAACGGGGUUAGGAAGUAGGAUAUAGGCUUUGUUUUUUUUGUGUGUUUGGUUUUUUUUUUUAUUUCUCUGACCAUCUCUUGACUCCCACUCCAGUCCAGUAGGUGGUGGUAAAUGCACCUAAUAGUUGGGUGCCAACCGCCAAUAAAAAGAACGAAAGAAAGAAAGAACGAAAGUGGAUGGAUAGGAUAAAGGAGUUAGGGGUGCAGGAAUUUACACUGAAAGAGAUGCUAAGUAUGGAAGAGAGGGCACAGGUUAGGGCACUGAUGGAUUUUUUUAAAGGGGACCGGGGUUUAUAAUAGAAUAUGAUGGUUAGGUAGGGAUAAUGAUAGGGAUAAGGGGUGGUAGUUGGCUUGGGUGUGGAGAGUGCAAGUUAGAGUUUUGUUUGUUUGUUUGUUUAUUUGUUUGUUUGGGUUUUUGUUUGGUCUUUGCAGUGUGUGUUUGUAGAUUUGAUAGUUUGAACUAGGUCGGGUAAAGUCUGUAAGUCUACUGUCUGGUCCACACUCCGGAACAGAAGGUGGCGGUAAUGCACCAAGAAGCUGGAUGCCAACCGCCGUAAAACAAGAAGAAGAAGAAGAACGAAAGCGGCACACUUUCAAAACGUAGUGCAACUGCACACCGGAGAACCAUUUUUGGAGAAAACUUAGUUGCAGUUUCUAACAGAACAGUCGGGUAUUUAAUUCAUAGUUGUCGUAAAACAACAGUGGUCUGCCGUUGUGACCACUGAGCAGGUCAGGCAGCAUGGAUCUGGAGCCCCUCCCCUCUCCGGCUGACAGCUCUGCUCCGACCAAUCGCAGAGGGAGCUCAGAGCCAGGAAGUCAGACUCCUGUCACCUUCACCCCGCCAGAGCAGGUCCAGAAGACGGACCACUUCCUGUUCUCCUAUCCCUGGUUCCACGGGCCCAUCUCUCGGGUCAAGGCCGCCCACCUGGUCCAGAGCUCUGGACCGGAUGGACAUGGAGUGUUUCUGGUCCGACAGAGCGAGACCCGCAGGGGGGCUACGUCCUCACGUUCAACUACCAGGGAAAAGCAAAGCACCUGCGCCUCUCUCUAACAGAAUAGGGUCAGUGCAGGGUGCAGCACCUGCGCUUCCCCUCUGUUAUGGACAUGCUCAGUCAUUUCCGCCUCUUCCCCAUCCCGCUGGAGUGUGGAGCCGCCGGCGCCGUCACGUUAUCCAGCUUCGUAGUGGCGGGUUCCAGCCCUCCAUCACAGGGUAAGCUCUCAGGCGCCCUCCUCGUCCCUUUCUCCCUCCAUCGGUGGAGCUCGGAGCCCAGCUUGGCCCACUGCAGUCUGGCUCGCAGCUCCAGUCAGCCCCCUUCCUCCUGCUCCACCAGCAGCAGCAGCACCUCCACCUCCAACCCCGCCUCUGCAUCCCAACCGGGAAACCACCCGUUUACUCGCUCCAACUCCGCCCCCGACCCCGCUCCGUUGGCACCGCCUCCUCUGCGCCGGAGCGAAUCGAUGAAGAGGAGGCCCCUGUUCCGCCACGCCAGCCCUCACACUCCCAUCAUCCCUCAGUGGGACUCAGACACUGAGCUGGAGCCUGACCGGAGUCGCAAGCAGGCGAUAGACAACCAGUACAUGUUGUUCUGACCCGCCAUCACCUCUGACAGUCACCUGUGAAGCCAACACGCUCACAGACACACAGCUCCAUGUGGGUGUGUGACACUCAGAUCUAACUAACCCAAUUUCAGCAGACUCUGAUGAAUGCAUAGCUCUGCGUAUGUCGAAGCAUGCACACACACACACACUCCUCAUAUUUGUGCUGGGUGUGUGUUUAUCAGAGUCAGACCCUCGCAGCCUCCACCCAGAGUGUCCACAGUGAAUGUAUUUGUAGGAGUUUUAUAACAGUGUUGACUAAGGUGAUUAUUCUUGUUUUAUGGAUGUUGAGGUUCCGUGUGUGAGAGAGAGGAAGAGUCACAUGAAGAGCAAGUCCUCGAGCCCAAGCAAAAAACGUUUUUUUCAGUAUUUCUAUUCUGGUAAAUUCAUACCGGAGCACUUAACCUGAACUGAUGGGAAAGCACUGCUUGCAAAAAAAAAAAGGAUUAAGGAAGUACUCCUUUAAAAUAUUCACACAAAGAUGCCGGUGUGGAGCAAAACCCAACUUUUUACACAAACAGAUUUUAACCCUUUAAGCUGCAGUCAAUUCCAGCCUUUUUCAGUACAAAAAAUCGCUAAUAUUCUAUUUGUAAAUAAAAAUAUGACGAGAAAUACAGGGAAUAUUGGACGCGCAUCGCGAGGUGCAUUUCCUUGAAAACGACCUAUUCGUGGAUCAUAUACCGACUUCAAGACAUGUUUUGGACAAAAUAUGUUACUGGCUUGUUUCGUCUGGAUGUCCAAGGUUGGAUUAUGGCCGUUUUUUGUGGAAUAUUUUCAUCUGUGUGUAAUAAUGAACCCGGAAAUGUGAGUCGCGCUGUGUACGUUGAAGCCGUGUACAGAGAAAGGAUGGAUGGAUAUUCGUUGUUUGUUGGACAAAUGUGUUUAUAUUACCCGCUGUGGUAAUCACAUCUGAAAGUGGUUUAUACUGGCGGAUUCAUGAGAAUCUAAGCUUUCCAUCGGCGUAUAGUGUUUAUAUAAUCGCGUUUGCAGUUUCAGACAUUUAGCAAAUUGCUUAUGCAGAUCUCAAAGUGUACCGCGGGCGGGACACUGAAGUGCAACGGGUUUUAAAAACACUCUAUUUGAGUGUUACGCUCCAUUAGCUAUUCCUCCUCUUGUGCAUUAUUAUAAUAUAUUUAAGUGCAUAUCGCUUUCAGUGCACUUUGGAAACAGUGUGUAUUUUUUCUAUACACGGAUUCUUUUGUAGAAAAGUAUAAAAAAAGAAAGAAAAAAAGAGGGGAAAACUUGGUUAAAGUCAGUCGGGAAGCUUUUUCCAGAAAUGGAUCGAGCAACCGCUUUUCAAACCUUCGCCGAAGCUAUCGCAGAGAACCACAGAAAUGAUUCAAGAUCAGCUUUUCAGCAGCACUUGUUUUUUAGCCAAAGCUCAGUGUGUGUUGUGUGUCUGCAUGUGUCCAUUGUGGUGGAUGUGAGACGAGUAGAAGUUCAGUCACUCUGUGUUAAAUGCUGAUCUCAGUCUUGGAGUUGUGUGUGAAGUUGUGUCAUCAGGUGUCUCUGUAGUGUGAAAUUUCAAGAAUCAAAGAUGUUUUGUGCACAAAGUGAAUUGAAAUGGCCUUAAAGAAAUAAUUUCUGUUACAAAAUCAAGGAAACUGGAGUGAUAUAAUCACAAUAAUAUCUAUAUUUUUUUUCACCCUGCAGCCCUGAACAAUGGUUAAGAGAAUGGAUGGAUAUUAGGAUCGUACUUCUGAUGUUUUCUGUGCCACUAAAGUAAUACCAGAAAAGUGUU